CGGGAUCUGAGGCUGCGCCUGCGCGGAAAGCGGAGGUCGGGCGGGUGAGUGGGCGGCCCUAGCGGCCAGGCGCCGGGGCGAGGCUGGAGGACCGGACCCGCGGGAGCCUCGCGGACGCCAGAAGGGCUGCUGGCUGCUGACUCCCGGCGUGGGUCAGUGAGAAGACCCCGGGCCCCGGCCCCGCCUGCUGCUCCCAUCCCCACCUGGUGCGCGCCUCUCGGGGGUCGACCCCGAAGAGGUCCCGACGCCUUCGUUCGGGGUGGACCCAGCAGGUUUUCUAUCAGAUGUUCCACUGUAAUAAUGCUGGAGUUAAGCGGUUUCCAUUUCUGUGCUCCAAAUCAGAAGACUUUUUUCCCUGCAUACAGUAUAGGAGAAAUAUUUAAAAACAAUUGGCAACUGACUGGUGUUUAA
rnacentral:lncRNA from 1 species